rnacentral:rRNA from 1 species
GGAGUCUGGUCCGUGUCUCAGUACCAGUGUGGGGGUUUAGCCUCUCAGCUCCCCUAGACAUCGUCGCCUUGGUAAGCCGUUGCCUUACCAACUAGCUAAUGCGCCGCAGGUCCAUCUUUCAGCGAGGCUUUAAAGGCCCCUUUUAGAAUCAGGAGAUGCCUCCCGAUCAUUUAUCCGGUAUUAGCCAAAGUUUCCCUUGGGUAUCCCAAACUGUAAGGCAGGUUACCUACGUGUUACUCACCCGUUCGCCACUAGACAUCAAGGAGCAAGCUCCCUUCCGUCUCGUUCGACUUGCAUGUAUUAGGCACGCCGCCGGAGCGUUCAUC